rnacentral:rRNA from 1 species
CUACGGGCCGCUGCAGUGAGGAAUAUUGCACAAUGGGGGGAACCCUGAUGCAGCAACGCCGCGUGGAGGAUGACGCAUUUCGGUGUGUAAACUCCUUUUAUAUGUCAAGAAAAUGACGGUAGCAUAUGAAUAAGCACCGGCUAACUCCGUGCCAGCAGCCGCGGUAAUACGGAGGGUGCAAGCGUUACUCGGAAUCACUGGGCGUAAAGGACGCGUAGGCGGGUUGGAAAGUCAGGUGUGAAAUCCUACAGCUUAACUGUAGAACUGCACUUGAAACUUCUAAUCUAGAGUAUGGGAGGGGGAGAUGGAAUUAGUGGUGUAGGGGUAAAAUCCGUAGAUAUCACUAGGAAUACCUAAAGCGAAGGCGAUCUCCUGGAACAUUACUGACGCUAAGGCGUGAAAGCGUGGGGAGCAAACAGGAUUAGAUACCCGGGUAGUC